CUAUCCAAACUUUUUUCAUCUCAUUGAUUAUUUGCUGACACUACCAGGAUCAUCAGUUGAUGCAGAGAGAGGCUUCUCCUGUAUGAAACUUGUGAAAAACGACUGGAGAUCCAGAAUGGGUGAAGCAAAUAUGAGUGAUUUAAUGCAGUCUCCCUGGAAGUAGAAACCAUUGAUCAGUUUGAUCCCCUGCCUGCAAUUCAUUUGUGGUAUGCAGGGGGAGAGAGGGCAAGGAGACCUUUUUACAAAGAUGAACUAAAGAAAAGCCGUAUUCCAAGAGAAAAGGUGACGGUGAGUAGGGAUGGGGAUGUUGAAGCAGUGCAGGAGGCAGUGGAGGAGGAAGUGCAAGAGGAAGACGAGGCUGAUGAGAUUCAGAUUGCAUCUUCAGAGUGCUAUGAUAAUGACGAUGAUGAUGAUGAUAUUGAAUCUGCUUUAAGUAGAAAAGACUUGAUAGAACUCCAAAAAAAUCUUAUGCUAUGCAAAUGGAAAUGAUGAUGUA